rnacentral:rRNA from 1 species
CAGUAGCCGCGGUAAUACGUAGGGUGCGAGCGUUAAUCGGAAUUACUGGGCGUAAAGCGUGCGCAGGCGGUUGUGUAAGACAGGUGUGAAAUCCCCGGGCUUAACCUGGGAACUGCGCUUGUGACUGCACAGCUAGAGUAUGGCAGAGGGGGGUGGAACUCCACGUGUAGCAGUGAAAUGCGUAGAGAUGUGGAGGAACACCGAUGGCGAAGGCAGCCCCCUGGGCCAAUACUGACGCUCAUGCACGAAAGCGUGGGGAGCGAACAGGAUUAGAUACCCCGGUAGUCCCUGUCUCUUAUAC